rnacentral:misc_RNA from 1 species
GAUGAAGAAGGCAGCGAAAUGCGAUACUUGGUGUGAAUUGCAGAAUCCCGUGAACCAUCGAGUCUUUGAACGCAAGUUGCGCCCGAAGCCAUUAGGCCGAGGGCACGCCUGCCUGGGCGUCACACGUCGUUGCCCCCCCAUCUACUCCUUCGGGAUUGCGGGGGGCGGAUGAUGGCCUCCCGUGCGCCUCGCCGCGCGGUUGGCAUAAAUGCCAAGUCCUCGGCGACGCACGCCACGACAAUCGGUGGUUGCGAAACCUCGGUUGCCCGUCGUGUGCGGUCGUCGCGCAUCGAGGGCUCGAAAAAAUUGCCGGGUUCCGGCUCGGCUUUCAACGCGACCCCAGGUCAGGCGGGGUUACCCGCUGAAUUUAAGCAUAUCAAUAAGCGGAGGA